AAGGAGCAUCUGCACUGCUCGCUUCGUAGAGUCGAAGGUCGAGAGUGCCAGAGCCGCUUAUGUUCCCGAAUGUGGAACUGCGGAGCUCAUGGGUGGAACGCUGACAUGUGCCGGCAUCAACUUCACUGCUGAGUCAGUGGGGCGCCGGAUGUAGUCGACACACUGUUGGGUCCUGAAAGAACAGACGUUCUUUCCAGGCAAAAAUACGACGAAAUCUUCUUCGCGGACAUACCGCAGGGUUUCUCUGGCUGGUGCCGCAGUAGCGAGAAGGUUUUGUGUGUUGUUUGAGAACUGCACAGUGGACGCGAGCAUCUUUGUUA
rnacentral:misc_RNA from 1 species